CAGGACGUCUGCAUGCGACGCUCCCUCUCUGCCUCUCACUCAAUACUGUCGGGGAAUGGUGCCGUACUUUGUGGAUUUGGACUCUAAUUCAGAACGCCAAUGUGCCAAAAGCUUUCACAAGGGGGAGUUAAGAUCUGAAGGGCGCCGAAGCCUUUCGCUGUCCAUUGUUUGGUCAAUUUAAGCACUGUCCAAGAUCAAUCCGAAAGACAGGGUGUCAGGAUCCAGGAUGAGAGUUGAUAUCGCUCGUUCUCCGCAAUGGUCAGUCCUCUCCCCAUGGUGCUUAGGUUAUGAAGACAGCCCUGGCUGCCAUGCUCUGUGCCCACUGAUAUGAUGAACUGAUAAGCGAGGCUUUGAAUCUAUUCCAGGCUGCUCCAGGCACAAGAGAAUAAAUUGUUGUGGAGCACAACCACCAACUCUACAGCACAAUCAAAUUGAGAUACACGGCAUGCAUUUCCCGUAACUUCACUUCAGAGAAAGAGAACAUAAUUGGACCAGACUGCAAAAGAACAGAAUCACUUUCACUCAGUGUCUUGUCAGAUCUUCAUAUUCUUCUAUUACAUAGGCUGCUGUUUACAAGAUUUUAGGACAAAGGAAUGGAAUUAAGCUGUUCAGCCCAUCAAGUCAAUGCUGUCAUUUUAUCAUGGCUGAUGUGUUUUUCUUCUCAACUCUAUUCUCCUACUUGCAAUCAUCGACACCCUCACUAAUUAAGAACCUAUUGUUGUGGGUUUAAUAUUUUAGCAAUAUUAUAAAUGUAUUGUUUGAUUAAACAUGCUUUUUUUGUUUACAUAAUUUAUUUUGGGUUAUUUGUAAAUGUAUGUGAAUGGCAUACAUUAUCAAGCCACCAUCUGAUAUGUGCACACCUCGCUAAAGUAAAAACAAAAUGCACACAUUCUCCAGGGCUUCCGUUUUUGUCUUUCAAUUACUUUCAUGCUUUGGAGUUACAAAACAAAAGAGUAUCAACCUCCACUUUAAAUAUACCCAAUCACUUAGCCUCCACAGCCCUCAACAGCAAUGAACUCCAGGAUUCACAAUACUCUGGCUAAAGAAAUUCCUCAUCUCUGUUCUAAAGGAAUGACCUUCUAUUUGAGGUUGUGCCCUCUGGUCCAAUACUCUCCUUAUAUAAAAAAAAAUGAGAGCUCCUCUUUCAAUCUUCUAAACUCCAUGGCGUAUGGGCCCAUGGGCAUCAAAUUUACCUUAUACAUUAACACUUUCAUUCCUGGGAUCAUUCUUGUAAACCUCCUCCAGAACCUAUCCAAUGGCAGAAUAUCCUUUCUGAGACAAAGGGCCCGAAACUGCUCACAACACUCCAAAUGUGGUCCAAUCAAUAUCUUAUAAAAAGCUUCAGUAUUGCAUCCUCACUUUUACAUUCUAGCCCUCGUAAAAUGAAUGCUAACAUUGCAUUUACCUUCCUAACCACCAACUCAAACUGCGAGUUAACCUUUAGGGAAUCCUGCACUAGGACUACCUUUGCAUCUCUGAUUCCAGAAUUUGUUCCCUAUUUAGAAAAUAAUCUAUGACUUUAUUCCUUCCACAAAAGUGCAUGACCACUAUAUUCCAUCUGGCACUUUCUUGCCCAUUCUCCUAAUCUACCAAAGUCCUUCUGCAGACUCAUACUUUCUCAAAACCAGCUGCUUCUCCAUUAAUCUUUGAGAUAUCUGCAAACUUGGCCACAAAGCCACCAAUUCCAUCAUCCAGAUCAGUAACACAAGAUGUGAAAAGCAGCUGACCCAAAAUCAACCUCUGCAGGACACCACUAGUUACUAGCAGCCAACUAAAAUUUGCCCACUUUUUGCCUCCAUGCUGGUACUUUUCCUGUAACAUCAUGGCCUCUCAU